AGAGUUUGAUCAUGGCUCAGGAUGAACGCUAGCGACAGGCUUAACACAUGCAAGUCGAGGGGCAGCAUAAUUUGUAGCAAUACAGAUUGAUGGCGACCGGCGCACGGGUGAGUAACGCGUAUGCAACUUACCUAUCAGAGGGGGAUAGCCCGGCGAAAGUCGGAUUAAUACCCCAUAAAACAGGGGUCCCGCAUGGGAAUAUUUGUUAAAGAUUCAUCGCUGAUAGAUAGGCAUGCGUUCCAUUAGGCAGUUGGCGGGUAACGCCACAACCGCGAUGGAUAGGGGUUCUGAGAGGAAGGUCCCCCANAUUGGUACUGAGACACGGACCAAACUCCUACGGGAGCA
rnacentral:rRNA from 1 species